CCUACGGGAGGCUGCAGUGAGGAAUAUUGGUCAAUGGUCGGGAGACUGAACCAGCCAAGCCGCGUGAGGGAGGAAGGUACAGAGUAUCGUAAACCUCUUUUGUCAGGGAACAAAGACUGGGACGCGUCCCCGGAUGAGUGUACCUGAAGAAAAAGCAUCGGCUAAUUCCGGCCCAGCAGCCGCGGUAAUACGGGGGAUGCGAGCGUUAUCCGGAUUUAUUGGGUUUAAAGGGUGCGCGGGCGGUCUGUUAAGUCAGCGGUAAAAGCCCGGGGCGCAACCCCGGCCCGCCGUUGAAACUGGCAGUCUCGAGUUGGAGAGAAGUAUGCGGAAUGCGCGGUGUAGCGGUGAAAUGCAUAGAUAUCGCGCAGAACUCCGAUUGCGAAGGCAGCAUGCCGGCUCCACACUGACGCUGAGGCACGAAAGCGUGGGUAUCGAACAGGAUUAGAUACCCUUGUAGUC
rnacentral:rRNA from 1 species